rnacentral:misc_RNA from 1 species
UAACCCUCAGGCCCUGCCUGGUGUUGGAGGACUGCGCACGCAGCCUCCCAAAGCAAGCGGCGGCGGCGCCCGGAGACCGAACGCAGUAGUUACUUCUCGUUCUGGGACUGGGUCGUUGUCCUGCCGGAAAACCCCCAUCUUUUUAAU